UGUCUCCGUAUUCAUGUUCACGUUCAUGUUCACGUUCAUGUUAACCACCUACUUGCACUAUUUCAAACAUGAAUAUGAGAUAAGACUAUAUUAUAACGAUAAAAUUCCACUAGACGUAUAGGCCUAUGUGUAGAGUUUAAAAAGAGAACAAUAUUUGAAUGUGGUGAAUCGGUCUGAUGAACGAUACGAUAGGCUACUACUUUAUUUGUCAGUAGGGCACUGAAAUUCAUUUUGCGUCUCUGAGAAGACCUCUCAAAACAUUUAGGACAGACAGGUAAACAAUUACAAAUGACACGUGACAUUACGGCACAGAGAUACACAAGCAGCACAGAUGACAGAUUAUGACAUGGCACAAUCGAUGGACUCUGAAACGCCUACUUGAAGGCAGGAGCUGAUAUUCAUUUUUCAAGACAUGUGUGCAGUCAGAGGAAAUAUUUGCGGCAAGCCUCGGCGUGCUGUUUUAAGCUUAUUACACAAUUUACUUUUAUUUUUCACUGUGAGGUUGCUCAACCCGGCGUGCUACAGUAGAGCAUAAUGCUCUGAAUUACAGAGCGUGGGAUCAUCAGUCUUUUUCCGCAUAGUCAACAGGGUGGAGUCAUCAAAGUAUUUGAACAGAGACUGGUCGGGUACCGAGGAGGCGCAGUCUGACGUGUGGAGUGUGAACAAUACAGGGUCACACUCACAGCCUUUGUGGUGAAGCUCAGAGAAAAUGAACAUUCGAGAAAUCCUCCUAAACUCUCUGGAGGAACUGGGAUCCAAUGACUUCAAAAAGUUCCAGUCGUAUCUCUCGGACUCGGGCCAAAUAGACUUUAAACCUAUUCCCAAGAGCUUCCUUGAGGACCCACUGGAGCACGUGACCGUGGACCACAUGGUGGAGCGCUACGGCCAUGGCCGAGCUGUCGCCGUCACACUGGGGAUCCUGAGGAAGAUGAACCUCAAUGAAAACGCAAGGAAGUUGGAGGAAAAAACCUGGUGUGGUUCAGCAAAGGAAGUUAAAGACCAACUCAAACCCACUGAACAAGUGGAGUGUACUGCUGCCCCACCAUCAACUCCCAGGGGCAGCGUUUCUGUGUCUGCUAAUCACAGUGUGGUCUUGCUGCCUACACUUAACCACAACCACUGUUCUACUGGCUCAAUCAAUUUCAACAUCAACAUCCAAAAAUAAAAACAUGCCAUUUGGUUUUGUAAUGUAAAUUAAUAAACUUUUAUACCUUUUAAAGAAU